rnacentral:sRNA from 1 species
GGGAGAUGGGGAUACAGUGUUGAUUCCUUUCUAUUUAUUUGAUAUAGAUAUUUAUUACUAUAAAUUUCCCUCUUAGAUGUGUGUGUGUUUGUUUGUGUGUGUGUGUGUGUGUGUGUGUGUGUGUGUGUGAGAGAGAGAGAGAGAGAGACUGGUGAUUGAAUCAGGGCCACACACAUGCUAAGUAAAAGCUCUGCAACUAAGCUAUAUUCCCA